rnacentral:rRNA from 1 species
GAUGAACGCUGGCGGCGUGCUUAAUACAUGCAAGUCGAACGAACAGGCGAUGAUCUUGCGGGUCGCUCGUGAGGCGCACGGGUGAGUAUAACGCGUGUAUACUGUCCCUGUAAUUGGGAUAAAACUUGGAAACAGCGGAUAUUACAGGGUAUGAGCUCUUGCACCACGGGGGUCGAUGGUAAGAUUCGGCUGUUCGGGAUGGAAUCGCGGCUUAUCCGCUUGAUGGGGGGGUAGUGGCGUACAAGGGCUUUGACGGGUAGCCGACCUGAGAGGGUGACCGGCCACAAUGGGACUAAGAGACGGCCCAGACUGCUACGGUAGGCAGCAGGGGAGAAUAUUACGCAAUGGGCGGAAGCGUGAGGCAGCGGCGCCGCGUGCGGAAUGACGGCCUACUGGUGGUAAACCGCUUUCGCCUUUGACAAGGCGGGAGUGACGGUAAUGAAUAAAGAAGCACCGGCUAACUACGUG